rnacentral:lncRNA from 1 species
GGGGGAAGGAAACACCAGAAGAUGGCGGCUAGGGCUCACCGGCUAACCGGCGGUGACCAAAUUUCACGGCGGCGUCCGACGGAACUCCGGCGAGCAAUUGGGCAGCCUGGUGGCGUGGAUUCGGUUCGGGGAGAGAUUGCAGGAGGGGAGAGCUUUAUAGCGACGCGCUCAGCGAGGAAUAUGGGGUCGUGGGCGGUUCGGACUCGGGGUGGGAAUCGUGGGCAACGCGGCUGCUCAGCGCGGAAGAAUCGGCGGGCGGUUGAAGACGAAGCUGACAGUGGGGCCUGCCUGUCAGCGACGGCGGCUCGGGCGCGCGCGCGGGCGGGGCUGCGGCCAGGCUCGGUCGGGCGCGCUAGGUAAGUGGGCGGGCCCAGUUGGGUCGUCCGGCCGUUUCUUUUCUUUUUCUUUUCUUCUUUCCUUUUUCUUUUUUAUUUUCUGUUUUUGAACACCAAUUUUGAUUCAAAGCUCCAAUUCAAACCAAAUAAAAUGCAACAAAAUUCGUAAAAUCAUAUUUUCAUAUGAUUCAACUUUUGGGACAAGAAUUCACUCAAAAUAAAAUAUUUAAAAAUACUUUUGCCUAUAAAUUAGCCUUUAGGGCUUUUUAGCUAUUAAAAUAAUUAGUGUUUUCAAAUCAAAAUCAAAUGCCAAGAUAUGGGGUAGCUUUAUAACUGCAUUAGACCCCUUUUUAUGCCAAAACCCUCAUGGGUUAAAAUGCAAUUAACCAAAAACAAGAUGAAAGCCAGAUUCAAAUAAAAGCACUUUUGUUAAAGGUUUUUUUUUAGUUAAACUUUAGGGUUUUAAAUGUGAUUAAAUGCAAAGGUGACAUGAUGCUUAUGAAAUGCAAUGCAUAUGAAGGGUUUUGAAAAUUGGGAUGUUACA